rnacentral:lncRNA from 1 species
AUGUCACCCCCACCCCGAGCCAGUGGUUCUGCUUCAGAUCCAACAGAAACCCCAAGUCAAAUAGGGGUGCUGGGGGACAGCAGGGUGCACAGUCAGUCCGUGUCCUGGAAGAGGAGGUGGAGGCUGGGCAGCCUGGAUCUGAAGGCCCGGGACACAGCCGAUUUCAGACUGGGAGGCUUUCACCUUUGGGAACAUUUGUGUGUGAUUCACCAGCAAUACCUCACAAUGUACCAGCGUUUGGAGGGUGAGAAUCCAAGGAGGAUUCUGCUAAGAAGAAUUCAGGAGAAGUGUACAAACUGCCUUUUCUAUCUGUUAUCAAUGGCUAUGUUUGUGGGAAUGGUUUUCACUCUACAGGCCCACUCUGACCCUGUGGCUUUCAAUGUUGGCCUAACCCUGACAGGUGCUGGCUUGUAUGUAAUGACCUAUAUGAGUCUGUUGGCUUGGUGUAGAGCUCUGCAGGAGAGAAGAUAAUGCCCUGGCCCGGGGGCCAGGAAUUUCUGAGAGUGCUAGACAGGACAUUUCAGAGAUGGCCAGCACCUCCUUGUGACUCUAGGGUGAACAGUGAUAUUGGGACCCUGCUGGCACAACGAAGCAUUUUAUGCAUUGUUUUUAUGGAUAAAUAAAAUUUGCCUUUUGAAAGUUUGUUUUCUGACUUUUUUUUCCUAAUAAUUCUUGGGAAUUGAACACAAGGAAAGACGAGAUGAAUCUCCCAACACUUGGUUUUUUAAAUUUUGAAA